AUUGUGCCAAGGAGUAAAAGACAACAAUGCUGCCAGGAUGAUGCCAACACACUACCUGCCCAUUCAGGAACAAGCAAUUUACAAAUUUACAAAAAGUAGAGUUUAUGCUACAGAGAUGACAAAAACGGGAGCUGGUCAUGCCAGAGAAACCAACCAUGUGAUUUGAGGGUUGAGCCUUUGCGCCAUGUGACAUCAGCCAGGCCUAAGGGGAAUGAAUAUAGCAGGGCUGGAGAUCAAGCCAAGGAGCAAUGAUUCAACCAAUCAUUCCUACAUAAGGAAAAUCCAGUAAAAACUCUGGACACUCAGGCUUAGCCAAAGAACACCAAGAAAACUACUACAGUUAAGUUGGAUUUACUACUCAUUGCAUUAAGGAAUGCACGGAGAACACACCAUGGGGAACCCUGCGGUAUCGUGGUCCCUGUCUUCCCUGAAUGGUCUCUACCAACUUCACCUCCGGUUCUAGGUGUCAUGGCUGCCCCAAGGGUCUAGAGACGACAACUUCUCCGCUUCCUCGGCGAUGGCGGCGUCCGGGAGCGGUAUGGCCCAGAAAACCUGGGAACUGG
rnacentral:sRNA from 1 species